GUGCUCGCUUCGGCAGCACAUAUACUAAAAUUGGAACGAUACAGAGAAGAUUAGCAUGGCCCCUGUGAAGAUGCUCCUUCAGAUAUACUGGGCAGAAGCCAUAGACUUAU